rnacentral:antisense_RNA from 1 species
AAGCUCAAAUCCAACCCCGUUCAUAUUGCUUUGGUGCUUCAAUGUCUGCACCAAGUUCUUUUGCGGCUGUUCUUGGCCAAUAAGGGUCCCUUAGCAGUUCGCGGGCGAGAAAAAUGAGAUCAGCGCGGUCAUUUUGCAAAAUUUCCUCUGCUUGAAGGCCGGAAGUAAUAAGCCCGACCGCCCCUGUCAAAAUGCCGGCUUGGUGCUUAAUUUUUUCGGCAAACUUAACUUGAUAGCCAGGAUAAACUUUUAUAUGUACGGGAACAAGACCGCCUGAGCUGACAUCAAUAAGG